AGGAUGAACGCUGGCGGCGUGCUUAACACAUGCAAGUCGAACGAUGAAGGCUGGAGCUUGCUCUGGCUGGAUUAGUGGCGAACGGGUGAGUAACACGUGAGUAACCUGCCCCAGACUCUGGGAUAAGCGCUGGAAACGGCGUCUAAUACCGGAUACGAGCUUCCACCGCAUGGUGAGGACGCUGGAAAGAUUUCGGCUGGGAUGGACUCGCGCUAUCAGCUUGUGGUGAGGUAAUGGCUCACCAAGGCGACGACGGUAGCCGGCUGAGACGGGUGAACCGGCCACGACUGGGACUGACGACGACGGCCCAGCCGUCGUACGGGAGCCAGGUCAGGU
rnacentral:rRNA from 1 species